ACCAAAUGUGACAAAAUGAGGGUCAGGAGUAAGGGGCAGGUGGGGAGAGAGAGACAGAUAGGCAGAUACACACAAAGGAGGGAAAAAAGAAAAAAGCAGACAUAAGAGAGAAAAUGAGAUUAGGAGAGACCCAAUUCCUUUUCCGGUAGAAAAAAACUGAUUCUGGAAGUCUUCAGAGGAUUCUAUCCUGAGUAGGAAUGCCACCUCUCCCUAAUUUAUUUAAAGUCUCCUAGACCCCCUCAAUAUUAUCCUUGACUCCCCAGAAACCAGAGAGAAUAGCUGUUUUCAGGUGCUGGAAAGUACAGUCACCUUCCAAGAUUGGGAUGGAAGGAACGACACACAUGAUCAAGAUCUCUCUCUCUCUCAUCUGCUCCACAGCCCCGGGACUCGAACUGCAUAUGUGGUGGCCACCUAGGACACAGCCCUUAAAACUCCUCUCCUGCCUCCAACUUGUCUACUUGCCUGUGCCAGCUCCCAUCCUUCUCUACCUGAAGGUCUUAGGCCUGAGAGCCCAACAGCUCCUUUUCAUACGUCACCUCACUCUCCACAAAAAACGACAGCAGAAGGUGGAAGAAAGUCCUCUGGGAGCGUGGACUUCGGCGUCGCUCUCUCUCACCCACCGUUCUUGUCUCACACUCAGGGCAGAAAAGCCUGGUAGAGGGGACACAGGGAAAGGGCAUAGCACGGAAGGAAGUAAGCAGUGCAACAGUUACCAUGGAAGGAAGAAACAGUUCAAGGAGAGGAUUAAAGAAAAAAGAGGCACAGAGCUAAGGAAAGCCCCAAGGUGUUGAGAAGGGAAGGAGACACCAAGGGAGACUUUAUAGGUAUGGGGAGCCCUUAGAAAGAGCACCAGCUGAUGAUGGAGAGAAAACAACGGAUGAUGGUGUUAAAGGAACAAACGAAAA